AUUCAAAUAGUUUAGUUAAAAACAUUGGCUUGUGGAGCUGAAAAAAUAAAGAAUUUAUUUUGGAUA
rnacentral:tRNA from 1 species